rnacentral:rRNA from 1 species
GGGUUGUGAGGUUAAGCGACUAAGCGUACACGGUGGAUGCCCUGGCAGUCAGAGGCGAUGAAGGACGUGCUAAUCUGCGAUAAGCGUCGGUAAGGUGAUAUGAACCGUUAUAACCGGCGAUUUCCGAAUGGGGAAACCCAGUGUGAUUCGUCACACUAUCAUUAACUGAAUCCAUAGGUUAAUGAGGCGAACCGGGGGAACUGAAACAUCUAAGUACCCCGAGGAAAAGAAAUCAACCGAGAUUCCCCCAGUAGCGGCGAGCGAACGGGGAGCAGCCCAGAGCCUGAAUCAGUGUGUGUGUUAGUGGAAGCGUCUGGAAAGGCGCGCGAUACAGGGUGACAGCCCCGUACACAAAAAUGCACAUGCUGUGAGCUCGAUGAGUAGGGCGGGACACGUGGUAUCCUGUCUGAAUAUGGGGGGACCAUCCUCCAAGGCUAAAUACUCCUGACUGACCGAUAGUGAACCAGUACCGUGAGGGAAAGGCGAAAAGAACCCCGGCGAGGGGAGUGAAAAAGAACCUGAAACCGUGUACGUACAAGCAGUGGGAGCACGCUUAGGCGUGUGACUGCGUACCUUUUGUAUAAUGGGUCAGCGACUUAUAUUCUGUAGCAAGGUUAACCGAAUAGGGGAGCCGAAGGGAAACCGAGUCUUAACUGGGCGUUAAGUUGCAGGGUAUAGACCCGAAACCCGGUGAUCUAGCCAUGGGCAGGUUGAAGGUUGGGUAACACUAACUGGAGGACCGAACCGACUAAUGUUGAAAAAUUAGCGGAUGACUUGUGGCUGGGGGUGAAAGGCCAAUCAAACCGGGAGAUAGCUGGUUCUCCCCGAAAGCUAUUUAGGUAGCGCCUCGUGAAUUCAUCUCCGGGGGUAGAGCACUGUUUCGGCAAGGGGGUCAUCCCGACUUACCAACCCGAUGCAAACUGCGAAUACCGGAGAAUGUUAUCACGGGAGACACACGGCGGGUGCUAACGUCCGUCGUGAAGAGGGAAACAACCCAGACCGCCAGCUAAGGUCCCAAAGUCAUGGUUAAGUGGGAAACGAUGUGGGAAGGCCCAGACAGCCAGGAUGUUGGCUUAGAAGCAGCCAUCAUUUAAAGAAAGCGUAAUAGCUCACUGGUCGAGUCGGCCUGCGCGGAAGAUGUAACGGGGCUAAACCAUGCACCGAAGCUGCGGCAGCGACACUGUGUGUUGUUGGGUAGGGGAGCGUUCUGUAAGCCUGCGAAGGUGUGCUGUGAGGCAUGCUGGAGGUAUCAGAAGUGCGAAUGCUGACAUAAGUAACGAUAAAGCGGGUGAAAAGCCCGCUCGCCGGAAGACCAAGGGUUCCUGUCCAACGUUAAUCGGGGCAGGGUGAGUCGACCCCUAAGGCGAGGCCGAAAGGCGUAGUCGAUGGGAAACAGGUUAAUAUUCCUGUACUUGGUGUUACUGCGAAGGGGGGACGGAGAAGGCUAUGUUGGCCGGGCGACGGUUGUCCCGGUUUAAGCGUGUAGGCUGGUUUUCCAGGCAAAUCCGGAAAAUCAAGGCCGAGGCGUGAUGACGAGGCACUACGGUGCUGAAGCAACAAAUGCCCUGCUUCCAGGAAAAGCCUCUAAGCAUCAGGUAACAUCAAAUCGUACCCCAAACCGACACAGGUGGUCAGGUAGAGAAUACCAAGGCGCUUGAGAGAACUCGGGUGAAGGAACUAGGCAAAAUGGUGCCGUAACUUCGGGAGAAGGCACGCUGAUACGUAGGUGAAGUCCCUCGCGGAUGGAGCUGAAAUCAGUCGAAGAUACCAGCUGGCUGCAACUGUUUAUUAAAAACACAGCACUGUGCAAACACGAAAGUGGACGUAUACGGUGUGACGCCUGCCCGGUGCCGGAAGGUUAAUUGAUGGGGUCAGCGCAAGCGAAGCUCUUGAUCGAAGCCCCGGUAAACGGCGGCCGUAACUAUAACGGUCCUAAGGUAGCGAAAUUCCUUGUCGGGUAAGUUCCGACCUGCACGAAUGGCGUAAUGAUGGCCAGGCUGUCUCCACCCGAGACUCAGUGAAAUUGAACUCGCUGUGAAGAUGCAGUGUACCCGCGGCAAGACGGAAAGACCCCGUGAACCUUUACUAUAGCUUGACACUGAACAUUGAGCCUUGAUGUGUAGGAUAGGUGGGAGGCUUUGAAGUGUGGACGCCAGUCUGCAUGGAGCCGACCUUGAAAUACCACCCUUUAAUGUUUGAUGUUCUAACGUGGACCCGUAAUCCGGGUUGCGGACAGUGUCUGGUGGGUAGUUUGACUGGGGCGGUCUCCUCCUAAAGAGUAACGGAGGAGCACGAAGGUUGGCUAAUCCUGGUCGGACAUCAGGAGGUUAGUGCAAUGGCAUAAGCCAGCUUGACUGCGAGCGUGACGGCGCGAGCAGGUGCGAAAGCAGGUCAUAGUGAUCCGGUGGUUCUGAAUGGAAGGGCCAUCGCUCAACGGAUAAAAGGUACUCCGGGGAUAACAGGCUGAUACCGCCCAAGAGUUCAUAUCGACGGCGGUGUUUGGCACCUCGAUGUCGGCUCAUCACAUCCUGGGGCUGAAGUAGGUCCCAAGGGUAUGGCUGUUCGCCAUUUAAAGUGGUACGCGAGCUGGGUUUAGAACGUCGUGAGACAGUUCGGUCCCUAUCUGCCGUGGGCGCUGGAGAACUGAGGGGGGCUGCUCCUAGUACGAGAGGACCGGAGUGGACGCAUCACUGGUGUUCGGGUUGUCAUGCCAAUGGCACUGCCCGGUAGCUAAAUGCGGAAGAGAUAAGUGCUGAAAGCAUCUAAGCACGAAACUUGCCCCGAGAUGAGUUCUCCCUGACUCCUUGAGAGUCCUGAAGGAACGUUGAAGACGACGACGUUGAUAGGCCGGGUGUGUAAGCGCAGCGAUGCGUUGAGCUAACCGGUACUAAUGAACCGUGAGG